rnacentral:rRNA from 1 species
UGGUGUGUUGGACUACCCUGGCUUGGGGGUAACGGAGGAUGAGGGUUCGAUUCCGGGGGGGGAGCCUGAAAAACGGCUACCACAUCUAAGGAAGGCAGCAGGCGCGCAAAUUACCCAAUCCUGACUCAGGGAGGUAGUGACAAGAAAUAACGGACCGAAGCCUAUGGUUUCGGGAUUGCAAUGAGUAGAAUUUAAACCCCUUUGCGAGGAUCAAUUGGAGGGCAAGUCUGGUGCCAGCAGCCGCGGUAAUUCCAGCUCCAAUAGCGUAUAUUAAAGUUGUUGCAGUUAAAAAGCUCGUAGUUGGAUUUCUGGGAGGGUGCCAAUGUCCGCUUGUUCGCGAGUGCAGCGGCCCCCUUCCAUCCUUCUGUUAACGUUUCUUGGUAUUCAGUUGCUGGUUUCGGGCUCAGAUAUUUUACCUUGAGAAAAUUAUAGUGUUUCAGGCCGGCUUGCGCCGGAAUACAUUAGCAUGGAAUAAUAGAAUAGGACUUUAGUCUCCUUUGUUGGUUUGAGGGAUUGAAGUAAUGAUUAAUAGGGAUAGUUGGGGGCAUUAGUAUUUAAUUGUCAGAGGUGAAAUUCUCGGAUUUGUUAAAGACUAACUUAUGCGAAAGCAUUUGCCAAGGAUGUUUUCAUUAAUCAAGAACGAAAGUUAGGGGAUCAAAGACGAUC